rnacentral:ncRNA from 1 species
UCUGUCGUGAGACAGGAAGUGAAGGAAGCAGGACUACAAACCUUGGUACUGACGAACAGAAACCAGAUAUGAGGCUGUGAGGUUGGAUGAGCAAGCACAUCAUUGUGACGUCCUAAACGCUUUUAAAGUGAAUACCGAAGCAGUAGAUCUGGCAGGAAUCGAGGGAAAGAAGAUGUU